rnacentral:rRNA from 1 species
GAUGAACGCUGGCGGCGUGCCUAAUACAUGCAAGUCGAGCGAACAGACGAGGAGCUUGCUCCUCUGACGUUAGCGGCGGACGGGUGAGUAACACGUGGAUAACCUACCUAUAAUACGGGGAUACCUCCGGAAAACGGGAUCUAUAACCGGAUAUAAUAUUAAACCGCAGGUUUAAAAAGUAAAAAAGGUUUUUGUGUUAACUUUAAGAGGAAUCGGCGCCGCAUUAGCUAGUUGGUAAGGUAACGGCUUACCAAGGCAACGAUGCGUAGCCGACCUGAGAGGGUGAUCGGCCACACUGGAACUGAGACACGGUCCAGACUCCUACGGGAGGCAGCAGUAGGGAAUCUUCCGCAAUGGGCGAAAGCCUGACGGAGCAACGCCGCGUGAGUGAUGAAGGUCUUCGGAUCGUAAAACUCUGUUAUUAGGGAAGAACAAAUGUGUAAGUAACUAUGCACGUCUUGACGGUACCUAAUCAGAAAGCCACGGCUAACUACGUG